UGAUCCAGCCAUGCCGCGUGCAGGAUGACGGUCCUAUGGAUUGUAAACUGCUUUUAUACGGGAAGAAACCCUGGCUCGUGAGCCAGAUUGACGGUACCGUAGGAAUAAGGAUCGGCUAACUCCGUGCCAGCAGCCGCGGUAAUACGGAGGAUCCAAGCGUUAUCCGGAAUCAUUGGGUUUAAAGGGUCCGUAGGCGGUUUUAUAAGUCAGUGGUGAAAUCCGGUAGCUCAACUAUCGAACUGCCAUUGAUACUGUAGAACUUGAAUUAUUGUGAAGUAACUAGAAUAUGUAGUGUAGCGGUGAAAUGCUUAGAUAUUACAUGGAAUACCAAUUGCGAAGGCAGGUUACUAACAAUACAUUGACGCUGAUGGACGAAAGCGUGGGGAGCGAACAGGAUUAGAUACCCUGGUAGUCCACGCCGUAAACGAUGGAUACUAGCUGUUCGGCAGCAAUGCUGAGUGGCUAAGCGAAAGUGAUAAGUAUCCCACCUGGGGAGUACGAACG
rnacentral:rRNA from 1 species